rnacentral:rRNA from 1 species
UACGGAGGGUGCAAGCGUUAAUCGGAGUUACUGGGCGUAAAGCGCGCGUAGGCGGCGAUGCAAGUCGGAUGUGAAAGCCCCGGGCUCAACCCGGGAACUGCAUUUGAUACUACAUGGCUUGAGUGUCGUAGAGGGAAGCGGAAUUCCGGGUGUAGCGGUGAAAUGCGUAGAUAUCCGGAGGAACACCAGUGGCGAAGGCGGCUUCCUGGACAAACACUGACGCUGAGGCGCGAAAGCGUGGGGAGCAAACAGG